rnacentral:rRNA from 1 species
CAAGUCGAGCGGCAGCGCGGGGCAACCUGGCGGCGAGCGGCGAACGGGUGAGUAAUGCAUCGGAACGUGUCCAUGUCGUGGGGGAUAGCCCGGCGAAAGCCGGAUUAAUACCGCAUACGCCCGAGAGGGGAAAGUGGGGGACCGCAAGGCCUCACGCGAUUGGAUCGGCCGAUGUCCGAUUAGCUAGUUGGCGGGGUAAAGGCCCACCAAGGCGAUGAUCGGUAGCUGGUCUGAGAGGAUGAUCAGCCACACUGGGACUGAGACACGGCCCAGACUCCUACGGGAGGCAGCAGUGGGGAAUUUUGGACAAUGGGGGCAACCCUGAUCCAGCCAUUCCGCGUGAGUGAAGAAGGCCUUCGGGUUGUAAAGCUCUUUUGUCCGGAACGAAACGGGUAGCGUGAAUAUCGCUGCCUACUGACGGUACCGGAAGAAUAAGCACCGGCUAACUACGUGCCAGCAGCCGCGGUAAUACGUAGGGUGCGAGCGUUAAUCGGAAUUACUGGGCGUAAAGCGUGCGCAGGCGGUUUUGCAAGCCGGAUGUGAAAUCCCCGGGCUUAACCUGGGAAUGGCAUUUGGGACUGCAAGGCUGGAGUGCGGCAGAGGAGACUGGAAUUCCUGGUGUAGCAGUGAAAUGCGUAGAUAUCAGGAGGAACACCGAUGGCGAAGGCAGGUCUCUGGGCUGACACUGACGCUCAUGCACGAAAGCGUGGGGAGCAAACAGGAUUAGAUACCCUGGUAGUCCACGCCCUAAACGAUGUCGACUGGUUGUUGGGGGUUUGACACUCUCAGUAACGAAGCUAAACGCGUGAAGUCGACCGCCUGGGGAGUACGGCCGCAAGGUUAAAACUCAAAGGAAUUGAC